UACGUAGGGUGCGAGCGUUAAUCGGAAUUACUGGGCGUAAAGGGCGCGCAGGCGGCCUUAGAAGUCAGAUGUGAAAGCCCCGGGCUCAACCUGGGAAUGGCAUUUGAUACUCUGAGGCUGGAGUACGGGAGAGGAGAGUGGAAUUCCUGGUGUAGUGGUGAAAUACGUAGAUAUCAGGAGGAACACCGGUGGCGAAGGCGGCGACCUGGUCCUAUACUGACACUCAUACACGAAAGCGUGGGGAUCAAACAGG
rnacentral:rRNA from 1 species